UACGUAGGUGGCAAGCGUUAUCCGGAAUUAUUGGGCGUAAAGCGCGCGUAGGCGGUUUUUUAAGUCUGAUGUGAAAGCCCACGGCUCAACCGUGGAGGGUCAUUGGAAACUGGAAAACUUGAGUGCAGAAGAGGAAAGUGGAAUUCCAUGUGUAGCGGUGAAAUGCGCAGAGAUAUGGAGGAACACCAGUGGCGGAGGCGACUUUCUGGUCUGUAACUGACGCUGAUGUGCGAAAGCGUGGGGAUCAAACAGGAUUAGAUAC
rnacentral:rRNA from 1 species